rnacentral:rRNA from 1 species
AUUGAACGCUGGCGGCAUGCCUUACACAUGCAAGUCGAACGGCAGCACGGGUGCUUGCACCUGGUGGCGAGUGGCGAACGGGUGAGUAAUACAUCGGAACGUACCUUAUCGUGGGGGAUAACGCAGCGAAAGCUGUGCUAAUACCGCAUACGCCCUGAGGGGGAAAGCGGGGGAUCGCAAGACCUCGCGCGAUUAGAGCGGCCGAUGCCUGAUUAGCUUGUUGGUGGGGUAAAAGCCCACCAAGGCGACGAUCAGUAGCUGGUCUGAGAGGACGAUCAGACACACUGGGACUGGGACACGGCCCAGACUCCGACGGGAGGCAGCAGGGGGGAAUUUUGGACAAUGGGGGCAACCCUGAUCCAGCAACGCCGCGUGGGUGAAGAAGGCCUUCGGGUUGUAAAGCUCUUUUGUCAGGGAAGAAACACCGGCUCUAACACAGUCCGGGAAUGACGGUACCUGAAGAAUAAGCACCGGCUAACUUCGUGCCAGCAGCCGCCGUAA